AUUGAACGCUGGCGGCAGGCCUAACACAUGCAAGUCGAGCGGGAGGCGGACGGGUGAGUAAUGGAGGGGGACUGCCCGAAAGAGGGGGAGAACUACUGGAAACGGUAGCAAAUACCGCAGACUAACGGAUAACCCAGAUGGGAUUAGCUAGUAGGUGAGGUAAGUGCUCACCUCGGCAACGAUCCCUAGAUGGUCUGAGAGGAUGAUCAGCCACCCUGGGACUGAGACACGGCCCCGACUCCUACGGAGUCAGCAGUGGGGCAUAUUGCCCAAUGGGCGCAAGCCUGAUGCAGCCAUGCCGCGUGUAUGAAGAAGGCCCUAGGGUUGUAAAGUACUUUCAUUCGGGAGGCGUUACCGACUGAAGAAGCACCGGCUAACUCCGUGCCAGCAGCCGCGGUAAUUC
rnacentral:rRNA from 1 species